ACCCAUACAUCCAUCCAUUAAUAAAAAAAUGUCACUAUAUUCUAGAAAACUAAGCUCUGAAUUUAGUCUAUACAACCAUUUCAGCCAUCAUAGCCCCAGCUGAACUAAUAUUAGUGGGUUUUGGACUUCUUCAACACUUCUUUCAGUACUACAACUAUUCUCUCUGCCAUGUGGUGCUCUUAAAAGAUUUAUUUGACCCUCUCAUAGCCUCUCUUUCCCAUUGUAAGCCUCCUCUCAACGUGUGUAGCUAGCUUCACAAUGUUUUU
rnacentral:lncRNA from 1 species